UUCAAAAUGAAUCCUAAUGAAUUCGUUUAGGAUAAAAAGGAGGGGGUAAAAGGUUUUAUUUAAGCUUAGCGGGAGGACCCGUUCAAAAGGAAAGUUUUGCGACCGUCCUCUCUUCUUCAUCGUCGCGAACAACAAGAAGAAACCGCAGUAGUUUUAGUUAAACGUGAAAGACAAUCUCUUCAGUUCAGUCUUGUGAAGAAGAAGAAGUUGAAAGUGUGCCUUUCUUCGCGCGUUACCAACAGCGACUAUGAAACGACUUUUCUUCACUCUUCAUGUUCUCCUGGUUCUGUAUCUUCACCAUGCGUUUGCGCAGAUAUUCGGUGGACAGACCCUUCAGUUUAAUGAACCUCAACAUUUAUCUCCGGUUCAACAGAGCCACAUUUUAAGCGAUAUUCAACAACACCAGCACCGAUUUGCGGCCCAACACAAUUUUUUACCUCAAUCAUCCCCUGAAAAUCACUUUUUACAACAACAAUAUUUGCAACAACAACAACAGAUUCGUCAGCAAUUACAACCACCAUUUUCAACGAUUCCCACACCGGAAUUACGCCAAAAAGUGCAACAACACCAUACCCAAACCGCUUUUAGACCAUCAUCGUUUAAUAAUAAUCAAUUUUUAUUGAGUGGUGAUGAAAUAAAUCGACCAACAGCUAUUCCACAACCUACGAUUGAUCCUGAAAAAGAAAAACAGCGAUUAAAGGAGUUGCAUGAUAAACAAAGCAUAAUUGAGAAGCAUAAUCAAUUUGUUGAAAAGCAAUACAACAAAGCUUUGGAGAAAGCUCAAGCGGAUCAUGAGGAAUUUUUGAAGAAACAACAGGAUGAGAAGAAAAAAUUGUAUCAAAAACUGUAUAAACCAACGAGGAAUCAAAUUUAUCGUUACAGGCAAAAUAAUCCGAGAUAUAUUUAUCCCGAAGAAAGAGAUUUAUUCGAAUUGGCGGUUAAGAAAUACUACGAGGAACACCCAACCACAACCACAACAACAACCACGACUACAACAACAACAAUAAAACCCAUCCAAGAAGAAGAAGACGAAGAAAUUGAAAUCGAUGAAGAUGAAAUUAAAGAAAAAAUUAAAAUUGAUUCGGAUUCUCGACAAGGAAAGAUAUUGAACCUAAAAAAUAGUGCUGAAAUAUUUUUAUCGAGUCAAACUCAAAGUUUUAGACCCACAGUGAUUCCAAAAGUAACCCAAAUAAAAUCUUUGGAUGACCUAAACAAAUUAAAAACUCAAUAUAAAACCCAACAAAUCGGUAAAGAUGAUUUAAUCGCCCAAUUAAAAUUGGCAAUAAGCGAAGGGGGUCAAGAAAUUGGUAAAAAUAUCACAUCGAGGGAAAUAUCAUUACCAAAUGGGCAAAAAAUUGAGAUUAUUCGCACGACUGAUCCGAAUUUAGUAAUUCCGGAUGCGAAAAAAAUCGAAGCCGGAUCUGAUUUGUCGAGUUUAGUUAAGGAAUUUGAUUUAUCAGCGAAACCCUCGACGAUUUCCGUUCAGCAAACAACAACAUCAAAACCGCCGAUUAAACAAAUAAUUAACGAUUUAGGUGUGGAUAAUUUCCAAAUUUUAAAGGAAGGAAAAGCUGGUUUGGAAGCUAUUCAAGGUUUACCAGAUCAAAAACAAGUCACUUUCGUGCUUUUGGAAGAACAAAACGAUGGCAGCUUCAAAGUUCAAGGUGUUAAAGGAAACGAUUCCGAUAAAUCGGUCGAUGUUGAUUCGAUUUUAAAAAAAAUUAAAGCCGGGGAGAUUAAAUUACCCCCCAGAGAAGAAUUAAAAAAGAUUAAUCCAACAAUUAAUCCAGAUUUAAUUAAAUCAGAUAAAAUUAUUUCAACUUCAACAACUCCAAUAAUUUCAACAUCAUCAACUCCUACAAGUUCAACUACAUCAACAACAACAAUUAAUCCAAAAUUAUUUUUGACAUCAUCAACUGAAAAAUCUGAUCUUUUUAACACAAACUUAAAAUCGGUUACAAUAAGUCCAAAUUCUUUCGCUUCAAAUGAAGAUUUCAUUUCUAGUUCAACGCCGAUUUUAAAAACAAAUAUAGGAACUCAUUUUGUUGCAACACCAUCAACGUUAUCAUCUCCAAAACCAACAGAGCAAAACAUCCAAACAACAAACGAUUUAUUUAAUCAAGCUUCAAAUAAUCAAAAAAUACAAUUCAUCAAAGAAGAAAAAUCAACAACUGAAAAUUAUCCAACGUCAACAUUAACGAUUUUUAAAACUACAACUUUUGAUGAUGUUUCUUCAUUAAAUCAUCAUUACCAAUCAGAUCUUGCGGGAAUUUUGAAAAAAAACGGUUUGUACGCGAUGGCUAAAUAUUUAAAACAAUCUGGUUUGGACACGAUUUUAAAUGAAACCGGGCCGUAUACGCUUUUUGCGCCGAAUGAUAAAGCUUUUAGGACUUUGUUGGUUCAAUUGGGUGGACCCGAAAAGGCCGAGGAGAAAUUUAAGGAUAAUCCAAGGUUAUUAAGUGGGUUGCUCCUUCAUCAUGUAAUUCCGGGUUCUUUUCAAAUCAAUUCGUUACAAGAUGAGAUGACUGGAGUUUCAUUAGCUGGAACACAAUUGAGGGUGAAUCAAUAUAAUAUGCAUGAUGAGGAAUGGAAUGAUGUUAAGGUUACCACAAUAAAUGGAGCAAAAAUCUUAGAUGAUAAACAAGAUAUAGAUAUUCCUCAAGGUGUUGCACACGGUGUUGAUAAAGUAAUGUUUCCACUUCCGGUCGGUGAUAUCCUGCAAACGUUACAAUCGGAUAGAGAACGAAGAUUUACUUCGUUUCUUCGUGCGAUUUUUACAGCUGGUUUAGCUGAAACUUUACAAGGUUCAAAAACUUUAACAAUAUUUGCACCAACCGAUCGUGCAUUUUCCGUUCUACCACCAAACGAUUUAUCUCAAAUGGUGAACGAUAAAUUGUUAGCGAAAGAGUUAGUUUUAAGGCACACCAUUCCCGGAACGUUGUACUCGAACGGAAUGACCUACUAUCAGACCAAGGACAGUUUAGCGGCGGAGAAACAGAUCACGAUCACCAAGAACUCAGGAAAAGUUAAGGUGAACAACAAUCUUUUGGCGACGCAAAACAUUCCAGCGACGAACGGAGUCGUCCACGCGAUCGACUAUUUGCUGUAAUCCGCAAUUGCCAUCUCGCUAACAUUUAAUUUAAUGUAUAUAAGUGCGUUUGAUCGCUCUCGCAAGCGAAACUUUCUCAAAACCGAACCUUUUUCUUGUACAUUUUCCCCGUGACGUUAUAAUUAAUUAAUAUAAUAAUUAAGUAGUUGCAUAUUUUGUA
rnacentral:misc_RNA from 1 species